rnacentral:rRNA from 1 species
UGAGGAAUAUUGGGCAAUGCCCGAAAGGGUGACCCAGCAACGCCGCGUGGAGGAUGAAGGUCGUAAGACUGUAAAAUCCUGUUAGAGGGGAAGAAUAACUAAGUUUGGAGCUUAGUAUGAUUGUACCCUCAGAGAAAGCCCCGGCUAACUACGUGCCAGCAGCCGCGGUAAUACGUAGGGGGCAAGCGUUGUCCGGAUUUACUGGGUGUAAAGGGCGCGCAGGCGGAAUGGAAAGUCAGUGGUGAAAUCCUACAGCUUAACUGUAGAACUGCCUUUGNUACUUUCAUUCUUGAGUUCGGGAGAGAGAGACGGAAUUCCAGGUGUAGUGGUGAAAUACGUAGAUAUCUGGAAGAACACCAGUUGCGAAGGCGGUCUCUUGGUCCGAUACUGACGCUGAGGCGCGAAAGCGUGGGGAGCAAACA